rnacentral:rRNA from 1 species
AUUGAACGCUGGCGGCAUGCCUUACACAUGCAAGUCGAACGGCAGCACGGGUGCUUGCACCUGGUGGCGAGUGGCGAACGGGUGAGUAAUACAUCGGAACGUACCUUAUCGUGGGGGAUAACGCAGCGAAAGUUGCGCUAAUACCGCAUACGCCCUGAGGGGGAAAGCGGGGGACCGUAAGGCCUCGCGCGAUUAGAGCGGCCGAUGUCUGAUUAGCUUGUUGGUGAGGUAAAAGCUCACCAAGGCGAUGAUCAGUAGCUGGUCUGAGAGGACGAUCAGCCACACGGGGACUGGGACACGGCCCAGACUCCUACGGGAGGCAGCAGUGGGGAAUUUUGGACAAUGGGGGCAACCCUGAUCCAGCAAUGCCGCGUGAGUGAAGAAGGCCUUCGGGUUGUAAAGCUCUUUUGUCAGGGAAGAAACAGCAGCUCUAACACAGUCUGCGAAUGACGGUACCUGAAGAAUAAGCACCGGCUAACUACGUGCCAGCAGCCGCGGUAA